rnacentral:rRNA from 1 species
AUGGACGAGCAAAAUAUCAACAGCAAUAUCCCGAGCACAGAGCAACUGGAACAAACAGGCACUGAUUUAAAAGAGGAUGACAGAAGCAACGACGUACCAAAUACACAACAACAGGUUUCCGAAUUUCUUUCAAGCCUUAACCCGCUACAACUAGACGAAUAUAACGAAUAUGUAAAGAUGGGCUUUGAGUUCGAUGUAAUCAAAACAUGGCUGAAUGACUAUGAAAGCUAUGAAUUCAACAAAGAUGCUAAGCCGUAUCUGAGAAUCUUGCAGCAAGAAUCAGGAGAACAUUCAAUGCCUCAAUCAUCUUAG